CUCGCCUGCCUUCGAGAGGCCUGCGUUUCAAAGGCAGACGUCCGAGGUCAUCUCUGCCAUCGAUGAACCAACGGAGAACAUCAAUCUUAGCUGGAACGCACCUGAGUUCUACAAGAGGUUGAAGCGCUUUCGGAGGACUCAACUUGAAUGUGAGUGACAGAUGACACUUGGAACCCCAACCGCUGGGCCAGCUGUCCCGAGGUGGUCAACCCAUCGCCCCAGACACUGAUCACGCCGAAUCCCGGCGUGCGCUUCUACGUCGGCACGAGCCCUUCGGGCCAGAGCAUCAGCGAUGAGGACGAGGAGCAACGACACAAGACGUACCUCUACUACCUGCUCAGCACC
rnacentral:misc_RNA from 1 species